rnacentral:rRNA from 1 species
GGGUUGUGAGGUUAAGCGACUAAGCGUACACGGUGGAUGCCCUGGCAGUCAGAGGCGAUGAAGGACGUGCUAAUCUGCGAUAAGCGUCGGUGAGGUGAUAUGAACCGUUAUAACCGGCGAUUUCCGAAUGGGGAAACCCAGUGUGUUUCGACACACUAUCAUUAACUGAAUCCAUAGGUUAAUGAGGCGAACCGGGGGAACUGAAACAUCUAAGUACCCCGAGGAAAAGAAAUCAACCGAGAUUCCCCCAGUAGCGGCGAGCGAACGGGGAGGAGCCCAGAGCCUGAAUCAGUGUGUGUGUUAGUGGAAGCGUCUGGAAAGGCGCGCGAUACAGGGUGACAGCCCCGUACACAAAAAUGCACAUACUGUGAGCUCGAUGAGUAGGGCGGGACACGUGGUAU